GAUGAACGCUGGCGGCGUGCUUAACACAUGCAAGUCGAACGAAGCACUUUAUUUGAUUUCCUUCGGGACUGAUUAUUUUGUGACUGAGUGGCGGACGGGUGAGUAACGCGUGGGUAACCUGCCUUGUACAGGGGGAUAACAGUUGGAAACGGCUGCUAAUACCGCAUAAGCGCACAGCAUCGCAUGAUGCAGUGUGAAAAACUCCGGUGGUAUAAGAUGGACCCGCGUUGGAUUAGCUAGUUGGUGAGGUAACGGCCCACCAAGGCGACGAUCCAUAGCCGACCUGAGAGGGUGACCGGCCACAUUGGGACUGAGACACGGCCCAAACUCCUACGGGAGGCAGCAGUGGGGAAUAUUGCACAAUGGGCGAAAGCCUGAUGCAGCGACGCCGCGUGAGCGAAGAAGUAUUUCGGUAUGUAAAGCUCUAUCAGCAGGGAAGAUAAUGACGGUACCUGACUAAGAAGCACCGGCUAAAUACGUGCCAGCAGCCGCGGUAAUACGUAUGGUGCAAGCGUUAUCCGGAUUUACUGGGUGUAAAGGGAGCGCAGGCGGUGCGGCAAGUCUGAUGUGAAAGCCCGGGGCUCAACCCCGGUAUUGCAUUGGAAACUGUCGUACUAGAGUGUCGGAGGGGUAAGCGGAAUUCCUAGUGUAGCGGUGAAAUGCGUAGAUAUUAGGAGGAACACCAGUGGCGAAGGCGGCUUACUGGACGAUAACUGACGCUGAGGCUCGAAAGCGUGGGGAGCAAACAGGAUUAGAUACCCUGGUAGUCCACGCCGUAAACGAAGAAUAAUAGGUGUUGGGAAGCAUUGCUUCUCGGUGCCGUCGCAAACGCAGUAAGUAUUCCACCCGGGGAGUACGUCCGCAAGAAUGAAACUCAAAGGAAUAGACGGGGACCCGCACAAGCGGUGGAGCAUGUGGUUUAAUUCGAAGCAACGCGAAGAACCUUACCAAGUCUUGACAUCCUUCUGACCGGUAGUUAACCGUACCUUCUCUUCUGAGCAGGAGUGACAGGUGGUGCAUGGUUGUCGUCAGCUCGUGUCGUGAGAUGUUGGGUUAAGUCCCGCAACGAGCGCAACCCUUAUCUUUAGUAGCCAGCGGUUCGGCCGGGCACUCUAGAGAGACUGCCAGGGAUAACCUGGAGGAAGGCGGGGAGGACGUCAAAUCAUCAUGCCCCCUAUGACUUGGGCUACACACGUGCUACAAUGGCGUAAACAAAGGGAAGCAAAGCUGUGAAGCCGAGCAAAUCUCAAAAAUAACGUCUCAGUUCGGACUGUAGUCUGCAACCCGACUACACGAAGCUGGAAUCGCUAGUAAUCGCAGAUCAGAAUGCUGCG
rnacentral:rRNA from 1 species